rnacentral:rRNA from 1 species
GACGAACGCUGGCGGCGUGCUUAACACAUGCAAGUCGAACGGAAAGGCCCUGCUUUUGUGGGGUGCUCGAGUGGCGAACGGGUGAGUAACACGUGAGUAACCUGCCCUUGACUUUGGGAUAACUUCAGGAAACUGGGGCUAAUACCGGAUAGGAGCUCCUGCUGCAUGGUGGGGGUUGGAAAGUUUCGGUGGUUGGGUAUGGACUUGCGGCUUCUCGGCUUGUUGGUGGGGUAGUGUUGUACCAAGGCUCUGCCGCGUAGACGAGCUGAGAGGGGAACAGGCCAAGUUAGAGCGGGGAUGAGACCCGGACUCAUACGGGAGGCGAGGGUGCAGAGGGGUGCACAAUGGGAGGAGGCCUGGUGUAACGACGCCGCGUGCGGGAAAUGGGCCUUCGGGUAGUAAAGCACUUUCGUCUGUGACGGAGCGUGAGUGACGGUAAUGGGUGAAGAAGCACCGGCUAACUACGUG